AGGCUAUUAAAAAAAUUAUCCCUGUUGUUCAAGCUAAAGGUAUUUACAGUCGCACCAUUUGUCAUGCGUCUAGAUUACAUGUAUUUCUCUCAAUGUAACAGUAGUUUAUUAACAUAUACUGGUAUAUCUUUCAGGACUCAAUGUGAUAGAAGUGGCACAUGACUUUUUGCCAAAAAUAAAAAACUGGCUUUUACAGCAGAACAUACAAAAUUCUUUUGACACUUGGCAUGAGGCCAGUGUUAAACGGCACUUCUACUCCAUGUAGAAUUGCACAAGUCCAGAUGAUCUGAGGAGGAGACUGCCCACAGUAGUUGAUCACUAUCAGGUACAGCACUCUACUACAUGAUCAGGUUUGAAAAGGUCAAGAAAACUGAUUGAUAUCAGUUAUUGAAAUGUAAGCAAGGAUUUCUGAGAGUAACAACUAAUCCUAGUGUUUAAUUAAAUUUUUAAAAAAUCUGGAAUGUAACCACUCAUUAUUGUAGGGCAACCAUGGUAGAUUUGAUCCCGAGUCAAAGUGCAAGAAACCUGGAUACCAGUGCAGCAAGACUAAAAUUACAAAUGCAAGAGCAGUGGCUGCCCUGCACAAAUUUAUUUUAGAAUCAAAGGUGUACAAGGUUUGCUGAGGACUACUAUCUGGUAUAUUAGCAGCCAUUGGUAUUUCUUCUGUGUUUGGUAGUAAGCCUUUAGCUCAUCAUGCCAAAGAACACGAACAAUGAGCAAAUAAUUUCCAAGAAAGGUUUUGACAAAUCAUCACAAAGCUACUUUAACAGUGAACCAUUUCUAUAAUUGCAGUGUCGUGGCACUUACUGGGUGGAGUCUUUCAACAAUAUUAUUGCGUUCAGACUCAUCUACUGCCCAAAGAGAAUUUACUUUGCUGACCGCACUUUCAACAUGCGCAUUUCUCUGGCAGAAAUGGAUUGGGUAAGUCACAGACAGGUAGAUUGGGAAGGUGCUUGCCUUUAAUAAUCUGCAUACAUACCAGGGUGAUCCACCCACCUGCCCCCUCCCUACCAGUAUACUUUAUAUACUCAAUGUGCAGAUAAAGUGGCUUACUGAUUUUGUAUGCCAAUGGUAAAUAUCCCAUGUUUCAGUUCAUCAAAUUUAACAUGUAUGGCUGAUAUUAUGUACACUGUUACUGCUAUUGUUUCAUUGCAGAAUGAAAAUGUUAACAGAGAAGCAACCUCAGUCAGUUUGUUGCAGGAUGUGCGCUGACCGAAUCGCAGAACAGGUCACAAAAAUCUUUGCCCCAAAACAUUUCUAUUCAGGGAGGCUGUCUGGAGUAGAUUUUUCCAGGUGAACUACUGAGUAUUGUGGAGCAAGAUGGAUGACUAACAUGCAAGACCUGUUCCAAAAAGGCUCUUUUUUGAAAGAGCCACAUACCUGCAUUGCACUCAGUGGGAAAAGUCCUGUAGGGUCAUACUUACCUGGUAUGACAUUGCACACUCCAGUUGACAAUACCAAUAUACAAGGCACCUGCAUUGUACUCAGCGGGAAAAAUCCUGUAGGGUCAUACUUACUUGGCACGACAUUGUACUCUAUGGGUCAAAAACCAAAGGCUGCUCUAGGAGCCACCAAGUUAAAUAAAAGUCAUGAUCAACAGAC
rnacentral:lncRNA from 1 species